AGUCCAGACCACGUUCACUCAGCCCCUCUAUGUUGGACUAGCAUGUUUGUGGUGUCCUGGAUUCUCUGCUGAGUUGUGUACACUGUAAUAGACAGAAGUCAUUUAAGGGUUAAUUUCUGUUUUAACUCGUCAACUUAUUUAGUCUCCAUGUUUGUGUCUGAGAGCUG